rnacentral:rRNA from 1 species
ACUCCUACGGGAGGCAGCAGUGGGGAAUAUUGCACAAUGGGCGCAAGCCUGAUGCAGUCAUGCCGCGUGUAUGAAGAAGGCCUUCGGGUUGUAAAGUACUUUCAGCGGGGAGGAAGGGAGUAAAGUUAAUACCUUUGCUCAUUGACGUUACCCGCAGAAGAAGCACCGGCUAACUCCGUGCCAGCAGCCGCGGUAAU